CCCGCUGAACUUAAGCAUAUCAAUAAGCGGAGGAAAAGAAACUAACAAGGAUUCCCUUAGUAACUGCGAGUGAAGUGGGAAAAGCUCAAAUUUAGAAUCUGGCAGUCACUUGGCUGUCCGAGUUGUAAUCUAGAGAAGUGUUGCCCGUGCUGGACCAUGUACAAGUCUCCUGGAAUGGAGCAUCACAGAGGGUGAGAAUCCUGUCUUUGACAUGGACUGCCAGUGCUUUUGUGGUACGCUCUCAAAGAGUCGAGUUGUUUGGGAAUGCAGCUCAAAAUGGGUGGUAAAUGCCAUCUAAAGCUAAAUAUUGGCGAGAGACCGAUAGCGAACAAGUACCGUGAGGGAAAGAUGAAAAGAACUUUGGAAAGAGAGUUAAACAGUACGUGAAAUUGCUGAAAGGGAAACGCUUGAAGUCAGUCACGUUGACUCGGAAUCAGCUCUGCUUUUGCUGGGUGUACUUUCUUGUCAAUGGGUCAGCAUCAAUUUUGACCAUUGGAUAAAGUUGCUGGGAAUGUAGCAUCCUUUUGGAUGUGUUAUAGCCUGGUGAUGCAUACAGUGGUUGGGAUUGAGGAAUUCAGCACGCCACCAGGCCGGGUUUUGACCACGUUCGUGCUUAGGAUGCUGGCAUAACGGCUUUAAUUGACCCGUCUUGAAACACGG
rnacentral:rRNA from 1 species